rnacentral:lncRNA from 1 species
CUUGGCAUCUCCUUCAUGGGAAACUGCAGCUUCAGGGGAAACAUGUUCAGGAGCUGGAGGAGGGACCUCGUCAGCUUUCUUAUGUCCUGGCAAUUUCUCCUUGAUUUUGUCAAGGAAACCCUUCUUAUCCUCUGGUUCAUGGGGUGUCUCUGUAUGGACUACCUCGACAGGAACACUAGUAUCCUCGUGUUCCUUCUCCUCUCCUUUCUCUCCUGAUAUCUUCAUCUUCUCUUUCAAUGACCUCUUUUCCUUCUUCUUCUUCUUUUUCUCUUCAUCGUCACCUUCCUCCUCGUCGCUAGACUGCAUUUUUUAACACAUCAAAAAAUCUGUCAAUCUCAAGAAACACUUAACGGAAAAGACAACAAACAAAAUAAAUAAUGAGAUCGAUCCAUGGAUCGAGUUAGAAACUUACAGAGCUGGAAGAACUGCUGCCUGAUCGAUGGAGUUUCUCAAAGAGAGUAGGUUUCUUCUCCUCUUCCUCUUUUUUCUUGUGCUCUUCCUCUACUUUAGUCUCGGGUUCAGAAACCUGAAGUUUCUCUUCAAAUUCAGUACCAAUCACCUCCUCUUGAGGCUUCUCUUCUUCUUUCUUCCCCAGGAAAUCAAACAACCCGCGAUCCUUGGUCUCAACAGCACCACUCUCUUCACCAACUUUGGUCUCAUACUCAUGGCUCUUGUUUUCCUCAGCCAUACUGAUCAAAAUCACA